UGGGACUCGGGAUUUGCUGGACCGGGGGCCUGCUGAGUGUUCACUGUUCCCACCUCCAACCUGCUCCAUCCCGCUGCUGAGCUUUCAUUCCGGAUCUGCCAGCUUCUCAGACCUGAGGAAAUGAGGGAGAACUGGGGUGGAACCUCUCCUUCCUUUCUCCAGCACCCCAGGAUCAGCAUCUCCUCAAGGAAAACAAAGAUCCAUCCUUGGCACUGCCUCUGGAGCUUUCUUUCUAAAACACAGAUAAGAUUAUGAUAUGUCCCUGUUUAAAAGGAAAAAGAAAAGAAAAAAGCACAGCUUGGAUUAUUCUUCUGCUGAAUCAGAAAAGCCCGACUUCAGAAGAAGAGAGAUUCUUGCCCACUCCAUCACUCCUGAGAACCUGGGCCGUACGAAUAAAGCUUUUGCUGGUAACAACUGUC